GCUGGGAAGUGAUGUUUAGGGUAUGGCCAUGCUUGGCAAUAUCCUCUCUUGAGGACAUCUCCAGAAGCACCAUUCCAAACUGCUCUGGCCAGUGACCCAGCUCCCAUUCAGAAAUCUGCACGCAGGUGAGAACCAGGUCUGAUGGUCCUAGAAGAGGUAUGCGGACUGGUGAUGGGCCUGGGUCUACUGCCUCUGAGGGAAGCAGGACAGCAAGGUGGUAUCUGUCCAUCUUAUAUCUGCCCAAGGGGACUUUGGAGAAGGCACAAAUAUCAGGAAGACAGUCUUCAGUGAUGUGCUCCUUGCACUCACAUUGUCCCCAGGCUGGAGGCAGGCAAUCUUAUUGCCACUUUUCUUCUGCAAUUUUCUUUUCCAUGUUUCUCCCCACAUGCUCUUUCCAUUCCUGUGCUUAUUCCACUUUAAUUUUCUUGGCUUGCUAGUCAGCAAGCAAAGCAGGGACACUGUGCCCUUCCCUUCCAGCAGCAGUCCCUGUACUCAGCUGGGUGCCAUCCUGGUGCACCUCCGUGGGGUCUGGGCCAGGCAGCCGUGACAAAUGGAGUGCCAGUGCAGGACGAAUGCUACUGAUAUCCCCUAGAGAUGUUUCCUUAACUGUUAAGGCUCCCAGUGAUGGAAACUCCACACCUUCUCCAGGCAAUCCAUACCAGAGCUUCAUCAUCCAUCCUGCUAGACAGGCUUUCCAGAUACUGCCAUGAAUCUCUCUUGUGCAGCUUAAGUUCCUUUCUUCUUGCCUUGUCCACUGCAGACACAGAGAACAGAUUACUCUCUUUUCUGUCCCAACCCUUUAUAACCUUGCGGACUGUUAUCAUGCCUACCUUUCUGCAAGCUAAACGUGCCACCUCUUCCCACCUUUCUUUGAAGGACAUGUUUCCAGGCUUCUGACCAUUCUUGAUGCUGUCCCUGGGUGCUCUCCACAUGUUUCUUGAAGCAGAGGUCUUGAACCUCCUUGGGGAUGCCUGCAGGCAAUGUCUGCACAUCUCAUGAUGCUGGUCACCUUCUUACCAGCAAGCUGAACACCCUGGUCAAGCCAGGUCCCAUGCUACAGAGCUGCUACCAGACCAUUGUUUUCUGCCCCUGGCCUCUCUUGUCAGUUCCUGCCUCAUUUUGCUUUUGUUCCUCUUCAAUAUGAAAGAAAAAAAAAAAAAAAAAAAGGCUUUGUUCUUGUGUCCCCUCAGGUUUCUCAGUGGUUAGGAGCCUGGAGAGGGUGGCCUGAUAUUGUGGCCCUCUGCUCCACCUGGAAGGGCCAGGAACGCAGAACUUAUUGUUCCUGGCCCAAAUAAAUAUGAAAAAAACAGACACAAAUGGUACAAAAGUAGUGGCUGUGUAACCACUGGUGUUCUCAGCUGUGAUAAUGCUGUGAAAUGAUAUCUGCUAUUGUGAGCUUAGAGAAUAAAGGUCUGGGUGGCUGAAUAAAUAAAAAUAACAUAAAAUGGUGCUGUGAGCCCUUUUCAGUUAAUAAUCCCAAGUAUCCAAGAUUAGGCAUUUCCCAUAAAACCUUCAUGUUUUCAGUCAUUUUAUGAAAUGACAACAUAACAAUAACAACAUGACAAUGGCUUUAUAAUAGGACAAUAGCGUACACAUCUUACACACGAGCCAGAGCUAUUUUUCGCAGUAAAGUUGCAGUGAAUUGAUCCAUAAAAAAAGGAAAAAAAAAAAAGAUAAAACCAGGGCUGCUUUUCUGAAGACUUCCUUAAGUCAGAAGCAAAUGACUGGGUUCAGCAAGAGAGUCUCCUGAGAACAUUCUGCAUGUUGGUUACCCAGUAACCUUGGUGGUGCCUCCUGGGUUUAAAAUCUCUGAAUCGAUGUGGUACUUAGCGGGUUUGAUAAUCUGUGUCCACGUUACCAGUGAGGUUUAGGAAUCCUGGCUAAGUCUUCUGUCUUGGGAAUGAGCCCAGGAAAUGGGUGAUGUGCUACAGACUGGGAAGGUACGAGGAGGCUCAGUGGUUCCUCCACGAGGAGCUGAGGCUGAGGCUGAGUGCAACGUUGCAGCACGUGGGUCUGAAGCGAGAGCCAGUCCCCCAGCCCUGCAGGCUGCUUCUGGGACAGUGGCUCCUGCAGGAUGGAGUUCACGUGGAGUGAAGCAGCUGUGUAACUGCUCUUGCUCAAACAGCCUGUAUUUGUUUUUGUAUUUAUAACAGGCAAUAAUGUCUUGGCUCUUUCCUUUUUCAGAUACAAAGGCAAUACCGAGACUCCUAAAAUAUCUCUAUAUUGGCCCUUACAAUAAUUCUUGGGGCACUGAAUCAUUUCUAAAUGAUCAAAAUAUGCAAGGAAGGAGCCAGAUCGUAUAACAACAGAAUGACUUGAGCCUGAGUCAUGGCUAGAGGUGGAAUCCCACCUCAAGAAAAACUUAUUCUUGGGGUGGAAGAAUGUAUUAGUCUUCGUCUGAGAUGAAAAAUUAAAACUCGGGUGCUUUUUGUGACAUAGGACAAAAAGCAAAAGCAGGAAACACAAGAGGAGAACUUCAGGGAGAGGGGCUGGAUCACCUCUGUUCCUCUUCCCCGGCCAAAAAGGUCUCUGCCGGGAACUCCCUAGGGUGAGUCUGACAGCACCAAACUCUGCCCAUGUCCUGUCCUCGCCCCCAGGUGUGAUGGAGGAGGCACACCAGAAGAUGGAGAGGAGUAGUUCUCCUCAGAAAUAGAGUCAACAACAGGCGUCCUUGUCAAACAUACACAUCACCUCAAUUUCUAUAGUGAGAUAUUUGGUCAGGCCCUGGUUUCCUCAUAGCAUGAAUAUUACCUUCACAACCUCCAUGAGCCUGGCCUAUUAAAUGUUUUCAGGAGACUCAACUGAAGGCGCAGGCUGCUACAGGAGCCACUGAAGAGUUAAACUGGCAGUGAUUUUACAGCUGAUGUCCCUGACACAAGGUAAGAACAGACUCCCUGAGGGACUUGGCCGUGGUGAGCCCUGUUAGUGGGAAGCAUUUAUCUGGUCAAGGAGCUGAAGGCUGCUCUAGCUGCAAAGGGAGCACCAUGCUGGUGGGGGUUAGUGGUGGAGACGUGUCCUGUCUGCAGCCAGGAGUUUGGCUGCUCCCGUGUUCCCAGGUGCCAGCAGUUAUUUACAGCAUAACCUGCAGGGUGCGAGUCCAGCAGAUGCAGAUCUGCUUGGCCCCUGUCAAGUGAUUGCAUUAAGUGCUGCUCACACCAGCAGCCCCGAGAGGGGCCUGACCCGGCUCUGACCGCUGCCAUCUGGACCAGUACCCACCAGCUCAUCAGACACACAGAUCGGCUGCUUCCACAUCUGACACCAGACCUACUGCGUGCUGAGCCAGACGCUUUGAAAAGCUUUGCUGGUGUCACAGGGAUGUUCAGGCUGCUGUGAGCACCAGGCAACACUGAUCCCUCUUUAACACUGACAUCGGGAUGUGUCAGAGCAGUGCCUCUGGCAUCUCUGGAGCUGCACAGGUACAGGGGGUACAUGGGAGGAGAGGUCCUGGGCUGGCAUGUCACCUCCUGUGUGUCGAUUUGGGGCCACUUGUGGUGGUGGGGUUUCUGCAUUCAGCUUUUCAGCUAUUCUGUAUUUCUAGGGCAGAACAUGUCCUGACAAGGACUUUCACUAGUGUCGGUGAGAAGUCGGGGGCUCAUGAGCCAGACAAGUAACAACUGCACUGCUUCACAGGGGGCAAAGCCUCCAUACCAGUUUGAACUGAAGAUCUGGGCAGCAAGGUGCCAGUCUUGCAUUCCUGCACAAUCUUCAAGUGCCAGAUCUCCCCCUGCCCAGGCUGACCUGGAAGCAGAUAUCCCAACCAGCUGCAGCUCGUCUGUCCCACGAGCUGCCAGCUCGGUACUGCUCCUCUCCUUCCCAUGGCAUGAAGACAAGUACCUGAGUGAAGUCUGCUUUGACCCCCAGGUUGUGUGGCCUCACUCUGCCAGCACAGCCAUGGUUCAGUUGUCCAGGAUGCAUUUACAUGCUUCUAACAUAUAUUAGUGGCUGACUUUACAUGACUGGAGCUGGGUACCACCAGGAUCAGACCUACUAGGCUGACUGAAAGCUUCCCUGCAAGCUAACGUGAAAGCUAUAUAUCGAGGCAGAAAGAGCAAGCUCUUCUACUGGUCCAAAUGACAUCUCUCAACACGUAGGGUGGGUUUCACCUGCCAGGAUCAUACAGGAAACACAUUAAAACUCAGGUCUUCUGGUUCUUCUUUCUUCAAGCAGCUGUGAGCCAGCUGCAGGCAAAGUUCAGUUCCCCCACAGUGCAGUGAAGGAGAGGCAAAGCAGAGCUCAAAUGUGAUUUCAGAGGCAAGAAUGAAAGGACACUUCCAAGGCCCACUGAGAGUCAGGAAAGCAAUUUGAAGGCCAAGGGGCCGCAAAUCUGAUGGUAGGGCAGCAGAGAUCAGUGUAAGUGUAUGCUGAGGCAUGAAUUGAAGAAGGCCAGCAAAGAGCACAUGAAGCAGAAUGGCAUCAGGUCCGGUGGGUCAGGCACAAUCACGCACUCCGAGGAGCAGAUUACAUGGCUGCAGCAAUUGAUAUGACAGGCAUCAGAGGAGGCUAUCCAUCUGCGAGAGCGCUCGGCCGAGGCACACCAUCCCAUUAACGUCUGCUAGACUGGAACGAGAUCAAAGGGAAUACUCCUGCUGCAGAAGGUAUCCAGCAUCAGAGGAGAGACUAAACACUUGGUAAUGGUCUGACCAGGAAUGCUUGCCAACAUACAGCCACACAGAUCAUGACAGAGAUGAUGCAGUAGGGCUUGUACAGGGUCAGACAGGCUCUCUGUAUGUCCUGCUUUUUUCCACUGUGUGGCAUGGGAGUCUUACCGUGGCCACUUUUCCUGUUGUGGCCAUCCCCACAUCUAUUUUGGCAGCUGCUACAGGUACAGCUGAGCCACGCUUGUGCACUACUGUCCUGUGCAAAUAUUGCUGAUGCUUUCUUUAGGGCUUGGUUUGUUAUUUCUUCUUAUUCUGCUCAUUCCUUUUAAAACAAAAACCCAUCAGGCUUUUGAACACAGUUGCUUCUCAUGCUGGGGAAAUAAAUUGUACCCAGUGCACAUGACCUAACCAUGCCUAUUUGAGUAGUAGCUGUAAAUAUAAAGGCACAGCUACAGUAAGGAACCUUUUCCCUAUAGAGGCAGGAAACCUAGACUGGAGAUAUUGCAAUGGGCUUCAUCAUCUUGCAGGGUCGUAAGCAGAACUUGACAUCACAAACUUCCAUUAACACCCAAGUCUUUUUGGUCUGUCCAAAGAACCAUCACCGAGUGGUGGCAGCAGUCCUGCCCAGGAGCCUGCCCUGCUUCUCCCCUGCCAACCUCUCUCACAGGGGAGCGGGGGGGGAACAGAUGUGGAGGUUGACAAAGUUGGCAGAAGUCUUUUGGCUGACUUCUGUGGGUCUGUUGGUUUGGGAUGGGUGCUGCUGUUUUGCAGUGUGCUUUAUUGCCUUGCUGUAAGGUCAGUUCAAUAUCUCUCGUGUGCUGGCUGGGCCACUGCCAAAAAGUAAUGUAGCAAGACAAGGACAAUGCUGAGAUGAAGAGAAGUGGAUGAGCUCAGUGCUCUCAAUGUUAAUUAUCAGGCGUGAUCGGCCUUGCUAAAAACUUCUCAGGCCUAGAGCCACAUUUUCUCACUUGCCUUUUGUCAUGAUGGUGAUGGAUAAAUGAAUGGUAUCUACCAGGCCCAGCUCCUCAGGGAGAUGUAAGUGCUCAAGACAACUUCUGUACUAAAAUUAUCUUGUGACAUGCACGGGAGGUUGUGAUGUGUGGCCCCUUUUCGUUGAUUUUUAUGUCUGCACAAAGCGAGCUCUGCGAGAGCCAAGUGGCACAGGAGCAGCCACCAGCUGCCUGGACCUGGCUGUGCAGCUGGGACAGACUGGGAAGCACCCACAGGGCUAAAGAAGAAUAAAUGGUGUGUGCCAGAAACUGGGACUUCUCACAUUUUCCUGGGAUGGUUCCAUUUUACUGGGGCAACACAAUGAGACAUCUCCUGGCCUGUGGAUGGAAAAGUAAGAAUGUCCUUAGUGUGUGCCCAGCGCACCUGUAAGUGCACACUGUGACACUGAGACCAACCUGUUCCUUGAUCGUGAGCACUCAGGAGCUGCCAGGAUGUUUUCCUUGCAUUAUACUUGCAGGAAUGGAUUUGAGAAUGGAUUUGAAAUCCUGCAUGGAGGCACCUGGUGAGGCCAUCCUGUUGGUAUCGGACAACAAAGUCUUCAUUCUCAGGGGGAUGUCAUUUUCUUUCUCCUUGCUAUUCCAGCAAGACCAACCAGGUGUAUUUUUGGAGCACUGGUCCGUCCUGUUCUCAUUUUAUAUCUUCUAGCUCUGAGGUUGGAUACAUCCCUCCCUAGUAGGGCCCACUCCACAUUUCUUCAAUGCAUCCUGGUGGUGAAGCUGACAGCCUGAACAGCUCUCUAGGACAUAAGGAGCUUUAUUUAGGUCAGUAACCUACUGUGCUAGCAAAACCCUGAGCUCACCAUCCCAGACAGUAUAUGACAGUGACACCCCUUACUUACAAAAGUGACUGGACUCACUCAGUCAAGGCUUUGGCUUGAGAGAAUGGGCUCAACUGCACAGUCCAAAAACAGGGACCUUUCUGGGGCAAUCCCCAAGCAGAAGAAAGCAUCUGGGGUCCCAGUACAGAAAUGAAGCUGAGUCAGCAUUUCGCAGCAGACUGCAAAAAGGAAAAAAAAAAAAAAGUUUGAGAGAUGAUACCAAAACCUCAGGAUUUUUGCUCUGAAGCAGAGUUUGCUGCACCCUGCUAAUGGACAAGUACCUUCAAACACCACCUCAGAGCAUGAACCCCCUGCAAGGUGAUGAAAGAGCCACUCAAAAAUCACAGCAAGUGUUUCACAGCUCCCGUGUUCACAGCUGAGGAGUAGCAUCACUCUGGGCUGCUCGUUCCCAAGCAGCCAUACCAUGACCCAUCCUCAGGGCCAGCUACUCCAAAGGAUCUCUGUGCACACAACUGCUCCGAGCUGAGGUCCGGGACAUGGUGGGGCAUGGGAGUGACCACGGCAUGGCACACAGUGGGAUGAAGUGUCAGAGACAGCAGUGAUGCUGGAGGGGAGCUGGGGCCACUAGAGGGAAGCAUGAAGCCGCUCACGCUAAUGGCUUCUGAGGAUGGAGAUGGGGAGGCUGAGAACUGGCAACAAAGAACAAGGAGCUGUGGGGAUGUGGACAGGCAUCGUUAACUCCUAGGGUGCUGCUGCUCUGUGAGCACCUAACACUUGUCCUCGGCAGGUGCAGCUGAGCAGGCAGGAGUGUGAAAGCCAUGAGACAUCUCCGAGUGGUCCAAGCCCUUCUUGGCUGCCCAGAAGGAGUCAGUGGGAUCUCACCUUCCCCAGCACGGGCUGGAGGUUCCCUAGGAGCAGUGGUGUGCCUCUCUGCUUUAGCAUGUAAAGAAAUGUGAGGUGAAAGGGGCUGUUCCUAGCUGAGGGAUGUGCUGUGAGCCUCAGCUGAGACUGUGGGUCCUCUUGGUGUCCAAGGGUGAAUAGCAAAUAAUAAAAUAAAAUAAAUUAAUCCCCCA